rnacentral:rRNA from 1 species
AUACGUAGGUGGCAAGCGUUGUCCGGAUUUACUGGGCGUAAAGGGUGCGUAGGCGGUUGCUUAAGUGAGAUGUGAAAUACCUAGGCUUAACUUAGGGGCUGCAUUUCAAACUGGGCAUCUAGAGUACAGGAGAGGGAAACGGAAUUCCUAGUGUAGCGGUGAAAUGCGUAGAGAUUAGGAAGAACACCAGUGGCGAAGGCGGUUUCCUGGACUGUAACUGACGCUGAGGCACGAAAGCGGGGGUAGCAAACAGGAUUAGAUACCCUGGUAGUCCACGCCGGAAACGAUGAAUACGAGGUGUAGGAGGGUCCAACCUUCGGUGCCGCAGUUAACACAUUAAGUAUUCCGCCUGGGGAGUACGGUCGCAAGACUAAA